rnacentral:lncRNA from 1 species
AUGUCACAGCAGCUCACCUUACAGAAAACCCGGAGCAGUGCUGGGGGAGCGGUGUGCCUGCGCCGGGUUCGGCACCGCCUGCCCGAGCAUCCCCGGGUGGGAUGGGGGGAGCGGUGCCACCAGGACAGCGGGGAGCGGUGCACCAGGACAGCGGGGAGCGUUCUCACCCCGGAGAGCUCUCCCCUCCGCCGGGCAGCAAGGACAGGAGGGCUCCGGGAGCAGCGGGAUCGUCCCUGCCAUCUUUUGUACAAUGCAACAGCUCCCCCAUCUUACAGACUAAAGAACUGAAAAUGGAAAAGCAUCCCCGGGAAACGAUCGCUGGUUAACUCCACACGCUUCCCCGGCCCUUCUGGAAGGAGAGGCUGCCGUGCACUUGGACCUGAGGCGUUCUUGUCUGCAAGGUGCUCCAGGGAAGAGAAAUCUACUUCACAUUUGACAUUUUAGUGAUUAGGGCAGUGAAUUUUCUCCUUGCAAGGAUGAAUAAGCAUUGCCAGUUCCAGACACUUUCUGAUGAGGUACCUCUGUCUAUCUUACGGAGUACCACGUCCUGCCUCUCGACACGUUUUCUGGCCGGGCUGUGGAAGCUGCAGAGCCGCCCUGCACUGCUGCUGCUCUCCUUUAGGGUGUACACGCAGCCCGCGGUAGAGCGCUCGGUGCUGCUGGAGGAGCGCUCAGAGCAGUGACGUUAUCCCAGAGCAGCCCCGGCACAGCGCAGUGCGAUGUGCCGGCCCCGGCCACAGCUCAAACACCGCUGGGCUGGAGAGAGGGGGCACGGGCAGCCCCCGAGGCACCGAGGGUGAGGGUGCUGUGGGCAGCAGGCUGGGUGAGCACGGCACUGCGCCAGCAGCGCUGCAGCACGGUGGUGGCCCUGUGCCCAGGCUCCAGGUCCCCCCUUCCGGAGGUGACUAAGGGUCAGGAAGUGCAUGGAAGAGCUCUCUGUGUUAUUCAACAAAGCACUUUCCUCGAGGUCUGUUAUUCAGCAAAAAAGGAGAAAUUAUGAAAUUAUUUAAAAAUGAUACCUGUGAGGGGAAAAAGAUUUGAGG